UGGGGCGUGGCCAAGUGGUAAGGCAACGGGUUUUGGUCCUGUUACUCGGAGGUUCGAAUCCUUCCGUCCCAGA
rnacentral:tRNA from 1 species